CGCCAGCCCGGAAGAAGAACCCGCAGCCCCGCGUCCCCUUCUGGCACCGGUUUGAGUUGGUUCCACUUUAUGGCCUGGGGUUCCUUCGAGAGUUUAUGGGGUUUUUUCUGAUCCCUCUUUGCGAGACCUCAGGUGACCGCCGGAUCAAAUCAAACCGAAUUCCUGUCCCUGGGGAGAAAGCUUGCUGCGGAUGGCAAAACGCACGUGCAGCGGAAGCGGGACCAGAGCGCGACAUUCUCCCUUCAGUGCCAGACGUUGGAGCGCAGGGCAUCGCCCUUUUCAGCUUUGGGGUUCACAGGGUUUUGAGUCCUAUGGAUGGUGGCAUGUGGAAAGGCUCGUUAGGUCUAGUAUUUAAAGCCCUUGCAGCAGACCGCUUGGCCAAACUCAGGAUCUUAGCUUAGGUUGUCUUGAUCGGUCACAGAUUAGGUUUGGCAACGGGACCUCUUCUCCAACCUGGCAGAAUACCCCCUUUAGUCAGGCUGUGUUGGAAUUUGAACAUGAGACAGAGCUGGAUACUGACCUAGCUACUCCCUCUCUAGGCGUGAGUCUUUGGACUGAGUUCAUAACCUUUCUCCAGUGUCCAGCUCUUGUAUGUAAAAGGAGUAACAGUAAAUGCUUUUCUAGUAGGUAUUUUACAUUAAAGAUUAAACGGGACUAUGAAGUGUGUGUAUCGUAGUUCCCAGCCCUGAAUCAUUAUUUGGUAAUUAGCAUCAUUACUUUUACUUGGAAGACUGCCUCAACUAGCUUGCAUUAGUGUAUGCAUGCUUCUGUUAGAAAGAUAUGUUUUGACAUUAAAGCCAUAGUUUUCAAAGAAUUUCAGGGUAGCAACCCCUCCUCCCCCUCUUUGUCCCCCUCAAAGUCUGUGGGGACUUCUGAUAAUAUAAAAUAGAAUUACCCUCAUUGAAUGAGAGCCCUAGUGGUAAGAUUUAGACCCAAGGGUACCUUCCUUUGGCCUUUUCCAGAAGCUGCACCCCCCAGCCCCCAUCUCUUCUUCAUCUCCCUUGGGGACCCUGAAGCACCUGUGUAGGAACCUAGUACUCCAGGGAGUGUCAUCUGAAAACUCCAGGUUAAAGAAUUCUUUCAUCUGUCUCAAAGCAAAUGCUUUUGGAAGAGUAGUAGAAAGAGCCCAGGGCUUAAGUUGGGACACCUGAAUUUUAGUUCUGGUUUUUAUUAUUUACCAGGUGUACGGACCUUUGACCAAUCACUUCUUUGGCUUCAGUUACCUCUCCUGAAAAACGAGAUCAAUGCUUGCCUCAAAGGGUUAUUGCAAAUGUUACACUAGAUGAUACAAAUGAAAAUACUCUGUAACGUGUACUCUGUCAGUGUGGUGAGAGAACGUUGUAUUAAUAGCAUUCACCCCAGCACAGCCUCUCCCUCCUUGUUUUCUUUGCUUCCUAUGCCCUCCAGUCAGUUGCGUUAAUUACCACAGGGGAGAGAUAAUAUGAAGACAAAAUAAACCAAACAAAACCAGAAAUCGAAA